UUGGUCUCAAUUAUUCCCUAUAUGUGCACUUUGAUUAAUAUAUAUUUUAGAAUACAUCUUUGACAAAUUGCAUUCAUAUCUUUCCUGGCUUUCUGAUGAUAUCUUCUUACUUUCUUAUUGAAAAUGUGUUUAUGAUUUGGAAAACAUAGCAGUAGCCCCUCAUAGAACCCUUUUUGUCGUUUUAUCUCACUGAUAGAUAUCAAGACUGGCCCAGAAAACACCACAAAAAGUUAUCUAUGUGUCUUUUAUGGAGCUUGGUAAUUAUAUAUCUGUACCAUGUUUGCUACUACAGACUUGCUCUGGCCAGAAAGAAAGAAUGAAGAAUGAAGUAAUUGAAUUUUACCAAAUCACUUUAUAUCCUUAUGUAGUCUACCCUCUAAAGGCAUUGCUUAAGUUUAUAGAAAUAUUGUAUUUUCAGGACUAUGGUUACCUGGUACGGGGUACAGGUGUAAGCAUUGUCACUAAAUCAAAUGGAAAGCAAUAACCGGAACGCCAAUUUUAGUGGUCCAGCUUGCACACCAAGGCUAUCGGGAAUGCUUGAUUGCACACCAAGGCGAUAUGGAAUGCUUGAUUUGUGGUCGGUUUUUCUUAGUCUUCUUCUCCUUGAACUUUACCCAAUUAGUCAUAUGAAGUUAUGGCAUUUAUUCUCAAUUAAAAUAAUUUUUUUUAUAAAGUAAGAAGAAAAAACAAACAGUUGAACCAAAAGAGUUUUCAGUUUUUGUUAAUUGCAACCAUGAUUUAAUGUUGGACUUUGUUUUAUACCCAAAUUAUCUUUGCCAGUUUAUUAUUUAAGGUUGAUCAGCUUCAAUAGCAUUGGUUGACAUUAGUAUGCUAUGUGCCCAUGUUUUCCCAGUUACCUGAUUAGUCAACUGUGUCCAAUCUUCUAACACUGUUCAUGCUCCUCUGUGUUGUUCUGUUAUGAUAUUACUUUUUCUCUUCCAUUUUUCUUGAAAAAGUUGAAUUAGCUUUAUGUGGAACGUAACAAUCUUGUAUUUUGGUAUAUUUCCUGUUACAUUUCUUGUAACUGGGAUCUAGUGUAUGGCAUUAUUGGAUUGCGGUCAUACUUCAAGGUAGGUAAUUUUCUUGCUGCAUUUGCUUGAAUGUGCUUUCCACCAUCUGAGAUGAUUUUUGGAAAAUUGCAGAGACUGAAACUUUACAUUCAAAGGUGAUUGAUGGCUUGUUAUAUCCAUCGGUUGAUGUCUCAAUUCAUCUUGUAGAUGUGAAUGUAUAUGCAUGCACAAAGAACCGAGAAAGGGCCGCUAGCCUGCAAAAUGAAAAUCUUAUAUUAGUGUGUUGACAUAUUUGAUGCGUACAUGAUUCGGCCGCCCUCCCACUUAGUAAGUUCUAAUUAUAGGUUUGAUCAUUGUUCCUUUCAUGUUUUUUAUACUAAUCCCAUUGCUGCAAGUUAUGAAACAGCUGAGAACAAGCGGAUUACAGGGCUUUGGAGAAACUUAAGAGAUGGUGCCAUGAAACUCAAGGAAGCUGCUUUCAGAGAUGAUGAGGUCAUUGAGUUGGGGUAGCCCAUGGGCAAGGCUCCACCUGGCAAAAACAUACUUAAAAGAAACGCCAGUUUGAAUAUCUGCCAAGUUGCACCUAUCAGAUUUGUUUCUGUACUCUACAGAAGAUUAUCAAAUGAAAGAUGUAAUAAUUCUGUGCCAUGGAGAGCAUGACACAUGGUCAUGAAUUCUGCUUAAAAAGAAAGUAUAAACACAACUCUUUUGAGUUCUGAAAUGGUUUGAUCAAAGCGCUUAUCUGAAAGCAUCAAUAUUGAAUUUGAAAUCUCAA